GAGGAUAUAGCUCCAUGGUACAGUAUGUGCUUAGCAUGCAUGAAGUCCUGGGUUCAAUCCCCAGUACCUCCA
rnacentral:tRNA from 1 species